rnacentral:lncRNA from 1 species
AUUCUAUACUCUCAUUCCAAUAUAAGUAAACAAUCUACUCCCAUUUUCACUCCACACUACUAAUCUCAAGAUUCUCACUCCAAUUUAAAAUGUAAACGCAGCGUAAAAGAAGAGAGAGAGAGUGAGUGACGACACAAAUGUUGAGACACACACGGAGAGGGUGAUGAUAGAGCUGGCAAAACGGGUCAUCGAAUCGUGUUCGUGUCGUGUCGUGUCAGAUUCGUGUCGUGUCAAAUUUAGGUUGACCCAAACCCAACCCAUUUAAUAAUCGUGUCAAAAUAUUGAGACCCAAACCCGACACGGAAAAAUAAUCGGGUUACCCAAUAACCCGCUUAAUAUCUAUAUAUUAAAUAAAAGUUACAUCAAAUAUUUACACUUUGUUAUACAUAUGUAUGCACAUACAUACAUACAUCCAUACAUACAUACAUAAUUUAUCAAUAUUAUAAAAUAUACAUAUCUACUAAAAUAUUACACACAUUAUUGAUGUUUUAAUUAUAUAUAUGUAAAUAAUAGUAUAUAUCAAUAUUAUAAAAUAUACAUGUCUACCAAUAUUUUAUACAUUUACACUAUUAAAGCUCUAAAUGUAUUUAAAAUUUUAUAAAUAAACUAUUGUGUCUAUAUUCAUCCUUUUAAAGAAUAAAAAAAAAUUAUCCUAAUAUUUGAGUUUUGAUGACAAGAAUCUGUAAAUUAUUUUAAAAUAGAAAAUAUAAUCGGGUCAUUGAUCGGGUAAAUGGGUCAAGAAUUUUAACCCUAACCCGAUACGGAAAAAAAUCGUGUUGACCCGGACCCGACCCAUUUAAUAAUCGUGUUAAAUUCGACGACCCAUACCCAUUUAUUGGUGUCGUGUUCGUGUUGGGUAAUUGGGUCGUGUCAAAUUUUGCCAGCUCUAGGUGAUGAUACAAAACGAGAGAGAAUCAUAGAAGGGUAAUUCUGGCACUCAGAGAAAAAAAAUUGUAUCGACGAUUCCUAGGCCCGCCUUUCUCAAAUAUCCGCUUCGUUAUUUGAGGUAGAAGGGAGAUUAUGGGAUUCAGAGAAAAACAUACACAAUGAAAGGAAUAAAUAACAUUUGUAGACACAUAAUAAGUGAGAAUUUUCUUGUUUAUUUCUUCUCUUAAUCUUGCAAUUUAUUUUGCUACAACCUUUCUGGCACCUUGUUCCAUUUUUUCUAGACCGAUUGUUUGCACAGUGUUUAUAAAAGUCAAAUCGGUUCUGAAGCACAAAAUCUACUCGACUACAUUAUAUUAUAUGAAGUAAACUACCAAACAGACCCUCUUGAAAGUAUGUAUUUCCAUAAAAACCCUCAUAAAUUGAAAUAAUAAUUGUUAUUAUAGCUAAGUGUUCUUAAUGUCAUUUUGAAGCUAUAAUAUAUUAUGAUGUGAUGGGUAUAAAAAAAAAUGCACAUAACACGCAUAUUGUGAUCCGAUGGAUAUGAAUCAAAAUGAUUAAACUACCAAGCCCAUUGAAAUUUGUUGAUGCGAAAAUUUGAGAUGAGUGGUGUGUAAUUGACAACUACUUGAGUUGGAUUGUAGCCCAUCAACAGUUGUUUUUUUAAUGGAAGUGUCUCUCUUACAAAAGCCGAAGCAAUUGAACGGGGAAUAUAGGAGACAAUAAAUUAAUGUACACCUAUCGACAGUCAUUUUUUAAUUUAUUGACUUGGCAAACUCGACAGUCCUUUUUUCUUACAUUUAUAUAAGUUCACCAGAUUAACUCGACUCAUAAGCUAGCUCAAAUACUGAGGAUUAUCUCGAACUUAUAUUAUUAACCUAAUAACUCGGCGAAUGUAUGAUAACGUCUUCAAUAAGAAUCCCAUAAAACGGUGCCGUUAGGCGACGAUACAUGUAAUGGUGGGCAAUCUGUGUGGCUGAAUCCAGUACCGUCGCGUUAAGGUUGGCUCAAAUUAAAUGUUGAUGCUGCAAUGAAUCUGACGGCUGGGAUAGCCGGACUUAGGAGACAACUCUCUGCUUAGGUUCUAGGCCUAUUCCCUUCUUGGGCUUCUCUCCGUCUUCAAACCAGUGUAAAGAUACUAACACCCCUUCACUAUCCUCAUUACACCCUUUUCUUGGAAAUUACAUUUUUAGACAAUCAUACAAUUCUAAUUAAACUCAUUUGUUGUUCCUCUCUCUUCUAAGAAACCCACACAUUCUAUUACUUAUUUUAUCUGCAAAUUCCUUCAUUACAUAGACAUGUCAUUUUCUUUUCUUUUUAAUGUUUGUGACUCGUCAUACAUCCGAUAUUUUAUCGAAAUAACCUUUGCUUCUUUUCUUUUCUUUUCUUACAAAUUUAUUAUUCUCAUGUUUUUUCAAAAAAUAAUUAUUCUCAUACUUAAAGUACACUUUUAAACUAAGGAAAAUUCAAAUAUAUUUAUUUUAGAUCAGGGUUAUCACCCAGAAAUAUUAUUUGUGUGGAGGUAGAAAAUAAGAUUGUAAGAGAAGAAAGACUCCAUUUUAUUUUAGGAGUGAGAAAACACCACCAAAAAAAAAAAAAAAACAACAACAACAACAACAAACAAACAAACAAACUAAAUAGGGUUUAAGAAGAAAAGUGUAUUUUUAGUAUUAAAACUAGUAAAAUUGGAAAUAGUUUCAUCAGGAAUUUAGAAGGGUGGUAGAAGCUCCACUCUUAAAACUAGUUGUUUUUCAUUGGUUAUGGACCUUUUCGUCUUCUUCCGGGGCUUGUUGUAAUUUUCUUUUAUGCCGGGUUUAACCAAUUGUAAUAAAAUGAAAUGCCAUUCAAGAGAGUGAGAUUUCAAUACGAUCCCACAUCUACAAACAUACAUCAAAAUUGAUUAACAUAUGGGUCCGCCUACGUUACAUUUAAUGUAACGUACAGUCAGCCUGUGAAAUUUCAUCCAGCCCCUUAUACUCUAUGUUAUUUAUAUUUUAUUCAUGAAUAUUAUAAAUUUUUUGAAAUNNNNNNNNNNNNNNNNNNNNNNNNNNNNNNNNNNNNNNNNNNNNNNNNNNNNNNNNNNNNNNNNNNNNNNNNNNNNNNNNNNNNNNNNNNNNNNNNNNNNAUAACAAUUUUUAUUAUAAAAAUAAGUUUUAUACCAAAUAUUAAAAAAAAUCUAGAUAAUCAUUAAUUAUUAUUAUUAUUAUUAACAAUUUAAUAAAAAAUAUUAUUAAUUAUUGUUAAUAGAUUAAUUAAUUAUAAUGCUUUUUAUUAUUGUUAUUAAUAAUAACAAUAAUCUAUUUAAAAAAAUAUUUAUGAUUAUAAUAAAUAAUUAUAAUAAUUAUAAUUCAUUUAACAAUAAUUAUAUUUUUUAAUUAAAUGGAGGUUAUUUUGAGAAUUUAAUAUUAUAGGGGCGAAUUCAUACUCUAGGGUUUUAAUAAAAUAAAAUUGAGUAUAAGGGGUUAAACGAAAUUUUAUAUUUCAAAAAAUUUAUAAUAUUCAUGAAUAAAAUAUAAAUAACAUAGAGUACAAGGGGCUAGAUGAAAUUUUACAGGCUGACUGUACGUUACAGUAAAUGUAACGUAGGCGGACCCUUAACAUAUUAUUUAUUACAAGUAGACAAUGGAUUAUAUUAAGGUAUUUUCAACUGAGUAGACACAUUCUAAAUUUUUUUAUGUCGAAAAAUUAUCUCAAAUGAUGUGACAUUCAUUAAUUAGUUAGUGAAACAAAUAAUCAAUUCACUUAAAUCUUAUAAACAUUUACUAACCAACCACUCAAUAAAUGCUAUAUCAUUGGAAUGAAAUUUUGUAUAAAAAAUUUGGGAUGCCUAUCAUUAUUCUUUUUAAAUAUGACAAAAAAUAUAAUUGUACUAUAUGAACAAGUGAUACACUAAAGAGAUACGAAUGAAUGAUUCAUGUUCCAACAAAAUGGAUUCAUAUAACAAAUUAGAACUAAUUAGGAGUUACAACUCUUUCUAAUUAUCCGUCACCUUCAGAUUAGUGGUACAUGAAUAGUAGUGUUGAGAAAGGAACAUACCAAAAAUAAACUACAAUAAUGAGCAAUUAAGCUACAUUUUUUCUCUAUCAGCGCGUAUGUACAACAACAUAACUAUAGGAACUAAUUGAUAUUAUUAUUAUGCGAAUAUGCUUUCCAUGACAAUAUCACUAGUCGCAUGACCAAAAAAUACCGACAUUCACAAUAAUCUCUCAGAGCCCGUUCAGAAGAAAUCAUUCAGUGUGGAGAUAUGAGACAUGAAGAAAUCAAACGUCUCUAACAAUAUAAAUAUGCUUAGUCAUCAAUUUACCCCUUACUUACCAACUAAGAUUUUUUUUUUUUUUUUUAGUUUGGAGAAUAAUAAAGAAGAGAGAAUCUUGAAAACUCCUUCAUUUGCUACAAAACGUGAACUGUUUUCACCUAUACGAGAGAGACGUGAUCUUCUCUUUUAUCUUCAAAAAUACAACGAUUCAUUUCUUUAAUUUGCCUAGUAACAAAAAAAAAGAGGUAGAACGUCAUCAUACUGCCCAGGAACCUUACUAGCUUUCUUUCCUUGCCCAAAAGGAAAAAUAUUAUUCUCCAUUAACAAACAGCUACAAAGCUUGGAACAUCCCGAAACAUUGUUCUCCAUUUCCCCAUCUUUUUAUUAUUCAUGGUAGCAUUGCACUCUAAUUGAGAUAAAUGCAUGUAUCCGCAACUAUAUUAAUUGAGGAGACAAAUUACAAUUUCCCAGGCAUGAUGAACCAAUUAUCCACAGGUACAAUUAAAAUUUCAAAUGGACAUAUUUAUGUAAUUCCUAAAGCCUACCAAGCUUCUUAGUUAAUCUGCUCAAAAUAGAAUAUUCUAUAGCCACAUUUUGAUAAAUUGGGGUUGUUCAAGUCCUAUAUUCUUUGAAAGCUGAUUCUUGGAAUUGGUUGCUGAGUUUCCAAUUAUUAAUUGAACUAUAGUGAUUAACACACACACAUAUUUAUGAUUAAGGUACAGUCACAUGUAAUCUUUCGUUUACUAAUAAACUACAACAUGUUUCUUUUGCUAGCUAGCUAGUUGGUUUUUAAACAUAUAUAUGAAUUAUCUAACAGUAUAUAACAAUACGCAUAAUCCAGGUUAAACUAGAUUAAAUUAAACCGAAGAAUUAUGAAGCUUAAAAGUCACAAAGUAGGCUUUUCUAUUACAGUACUGCAAAGAAUGCAAAUUCAAUUUACCUUCUCAGAUCUCGUAAAGCUAUAUCAUUAAUUGGACCUUAAUAAAUAACCGAAGAAGGAAUUAUAAGAACCCAUAGAUGUAUUAAGUACUUCUCCCCCGAAAGCUUAUAUUCAUGGAACAAAGCAACUUGAGACACUUCCCAAUAAGCCAACAGAGGGACAAAUCCACAAGUCAACAAGAUUUUCCUUUUUCAUGAAUUAAUAGGUCUACCAUUACUCAACAUGCAUUAUAAAUCAUCCAAAAACUAGGAUAAGUAUGGAAAGAAAAAAGAGUGUGUGUGUGUGUGAGAGAGAGAGAGAGAGUUAAAAGGAAUCUGCAUUCAAAAAAGGAAAAAAGGGAGAAAAUAUCGAUCAAACCUCUUCUUCAGGUGAUUUCAAACGGGGGGCAUUGGUUUUUGAUCUAAAGAUGACUCCAUGGAUAAUUAAUUUACUGAAACACCAACACACUAUUUGAAUAUUUAUUUAUUUAUUUAUUGGUUAUGUAAGAAUUAUUUUCAAUAAAAGAACUCGAAUACGGGAAGAGAAAGCCAGGAGACGACACAGAUAAGAGAGUGACUUACAGUCCUGAUGUGCAAUAUGGUCCAAUUCUUCUCAAUGAAGAAAACGUACGACUCUUGUUAUCUUCAAGAAUUAUGGACCAACUUAAACUUGUUAACUGUCACAUGCAUGCGGGGCCCUUUUUUUUAUAUAACACUGUUAUGCCAAUGAUAUUAUAAAUUAAUAAUUUGCUAAAAUAUUAAUGUAAUUGUUAUGAUA